rnacentral:rRNA from 1 species
CGUGCAGGUGGCUGGGUAAGUCAGAUGUGAAAGCCUUCCGCUUAACGGGAGAAGUGCAUUUGAAACUACCCGGCUUGAGUUCGGGAGAGGAGAGUGGAAUUCCCGGUGUAGAGGUGAAAUUCGUAGAUAUCGGGAGGAACACCGGUGGCGAAGGCGGCUCUCUGGCCCGAUACUGACGCUGAGACGCGAAAGCGUGGGGAGCAAACAGGAUUAGAUACCCUGGUAGUCCACGCCGUAAACGAUGGGCACUAGGUGUAGGAGGUAUUGACCCCUUCUGUGCCGAAGCUAACGCAUUAAGUGCCCCGCCUGGGGAGUACGGCCGCAAGGCUAAA